GGUGGUGGUGGGACGGCCUUCAAUUCUGUAGGGGGCGUGCAGGGU
rnacentral:tRNA from 1 species